rnacentral:rRNA from 1 species
AUGGGCGAAAGCCUGAUGCAGCGACGCCGCGUGAGUGAAGAAGGUCUUCGGAUCGUAAAACUCUGUCCUUGGGGACGAAAAAAUGACGGUACCCAAGGAGGAAGCCCCGGCUAACUACGUGCCAGCAGCCGCGGUAAUACGUAGGGGGCGAGCGUUGUCCGGAUUUACUGGGCGUAAAGGGUGAGUAGGCGGUUAUUUAAGUCAGAUGUAAAAGGCUAUGGCUCAACUAUAGUAAGCAUUUGAAACUGGAUGACUUGAGUGCAGGAGAGGUAAGUGGAAUUCCUAGUGUAGCGGUGAAAUGCGUAGAUAUUAGGAGGAACACCAGUGGCGAAGGCGACUUACUGGACUGUAACUGACGCUGAGUCACGAAAGCGUGGGUAGCAAACAGGAUUAGAUACCCUGGUAGUCCACGCUGUAAACGAUGAGUGCUAGGUGUUGGCUAGCGAUAGUCAGUGCCGACGUAAACACAAUAAGCACUCCGCCUGGGGAGUACGG